rnacentral:rRNA from 1 species
UACGUAAGGGGCAAGCGUUGUCCGGAAUCACUGGGCGUAAAGGGUUCGUAGGUGGCUUGCUAAGUCAGACGUGAAAUCCCUCGGCUUAACCGGGGAACUGCGUCUGAUACUGGAUGGCUUGAGUUUGGAAGAGGGAUGCGGAAUUCCAGGUGUAGCGGUGAAAUGCGUAGAUAUCUGGAGGAACACCGGUGGCGAAGGCGGCAUCCUGGACCAACACUGACGCUGAGUGAGCGAAAGCCAGGGGAGCAAACGGG